rnacentral:tRNA from 1 species
GGGCAUGUGGUUUAGUGGUAUAACAUUCGCUUAGCAUGCGAAAGGUCCCGCCUUCAAUUCGCCGCUUGUCCA